rnacentral:tRNA from 1 species
GAGGGUAGAGCUCAGUGGUAGAGUGUGUGUUUAGCAUGCAAGAGGUCCUGGGUUCGAUCCCCAGCACCUCCA